UUAAACUGAAGAGUUUGAUCAUGGCUCAGAUUGAACGCUGGCGGCAGGCUUAACACAUGCAAGUCGAACGGUAACGGGUUGAAAGCUUGCUUUCAAUGCUGACGAGUGGCGGACGGGUGAGUAAUGCUUGGGAAUCUGGCUUAUGGAGGGGGAUAACCAUUGGAAACGAUGGCUAAUACCGCGUAUUAUCGGGAGAUGAAAGGGGGCGAAAGCACCUGCCAUAAGAUGAGCCCAAGUGGGAUUAGGUAGUUGGUGAGGUAAAGGCUCACCAAGCCUGCGAUCUCUAGCUGGUCUGAGAGGAUGGCCAGCCACACUGGGACUGAGACACGGCCCAGACUCCUACGGGAGGCAGCAGUGGGGAAUAUUGCGCAAUGGGGGGAACCCUGACGCAGCCAUGCCGCGUGAAUGAAGAAGGCCUUCGGGUUGUAAAGUUCUUUCGGUGGUGAGGAAGGUUGUGAUGUGAAUAGCAUCAUGAUUUGACGUUAGCCACAGAAGAAGCACCGGCUAACUCCGUGCCAGC
rnacentral:rRNA from 1 species